AUAAGAAACCUCUCGAAAGAUAAAGGAUUUCUUCCGAACAAACAAAACCGCAUAUAAAUAUUCACAUUUUUUUUAAUGCAAAUUAAAAUGACUAACAAGCUGACGGCCUACCUGAUGAAAAGUGGUAACCGUCGCCUAUAGACAUGAGCUGUACCAUGGACAUAACAGCAUAUACUGUUUCGCCCAUGAUACUACCCAUGCUUCCCAUACAUACAUUACAUUAAAUUUUUUUUUAUUUUUUUUUUUUUUACAACACAGGGGACAAACGAGCAUGCGGCUCAUCUGAUGGUAAGUGACUACCGCCGUCCAUGAUUACCCACAACACCAGCGGCAUUGCAAGUGUGCUGCCGGCCUUUUAAAAAGGAAUAUACUCUUUUCUUGAAGGUUAUGUUGACGUAUCGGUUCGGAAAAACUGCUACUGGAAGUUGAUUCCAAAGAAUGGUUGUGCGUGGAAGAAAGUGCCUUGAAAAGCGCACGAUGGAAGACUGCCACUCACAUACGCCACACUUACAACCGUUAACAUUCCACAUCAAAGACAGAAAAGCCAUACACUGUUAUCAAAAAGAUAAGAAGAUCGAUAUAAAAACCGGAAUAUCAAUACAAUAACAAUAGUUAGUGGCAACCCUGUGAACGCCCUCGUUCCCGGUGGUCUGACUGACCGUAACCAUAGACAUCAAUACCGGCGUCUUGCGAGUAUUAAUCAUAAACUAAGGACAAGUGACUCAAACAGACCGACUCUCGUCAUAUCACUAUGUAAAGACAGAGCGAUAUGACACGAGCGAUAGCAACUUUUAUGAGACCUCAACUCCUGAGGAUAAUAAUCUUACUAAUAUAAUAACGUGAAAUAUUUAAGACAAACCGAUAUGAGGUAUUUUAGCUGUUUUUAAAUAUUUAUUUAUUCAUCAUUACAAAUAUGUGUACAUGGCGGACUUAAUGCUAAAAGCAUUCUCCCCCAUUCAACCAUAGGGAAGUGUCAGAAUACUCGAAUGCGGUACUACUAAUUAUUGAUAUACAUACAUACUAAAAUUACAUAUAUAAACGAAUAAAUAUA